GUAAUAGUAUACUAGGAAGAUUAAGGGAAAAAGUGUUGGUGUAUCCAGCUGACUCCCUUGACCGUGUUGUGAGUCGCACUAUAAGUGGCCUUCACGCAGCCUUUGGUCCUGAACUUGCACUUUUUGGAAUCUUUCAUCUUGAUUUUUCAAAGACAGGAAAGUGCCGGGUUUACAUGAUGUCGCGAGGACUGCAGGGCCCUAGAAGCCUCGGUCUUGCUUUACCUAAAGGUUCGCCGCUGACGUCCAGGAUCAACUCUUUUGUGUUGAAACUCACGGAUUCAGGCAUAUUGAGAAAAAUAAUCCUGGAAGCUAUUUACAACUCGACAGAAUGCAUGAAACCACUGGCCUCGGUAGACAACCAGAGUCGGCGGUCCCUUCACCUAAAGGACUUCCACGGCGUAUUAGCUUUAUAUGCAGCAGGUGA